UACGUAGGGGGCAAGCGUUGUCCGGAAUUAUUGGGCGUAAAGCGCGCGCAGGCGGUUUUUUAAGUCUAGUGUAUAAUCCACGGGCUCAACCCGUGUUCGCACUGGAAACUGGGAGACUGGAGUGUAGGAGAGGAAAGUGGAAUUCCACGUGUAGCGGUGAAAUGCGUAGAGAUGUGGAGGAACACCAGUGGCGAAGGCGACUUUCUGGCCUAUAACUGACGCUGAGGAGCGAAAGCCAGGGGAGCAAACGGG
rnacentral:rRNA from 1 species